rnacentral:misc_RNA from 1 species
UCCGACUUGACGCCGGCAGUCUCGUUAGAGUCCUCAGCAUAACCUGUUAGCAACUAACGACAGGGGUUUCGCUCGUUAAGGGACUUAACCCGACACUUCACAGCACGAGCUGACGACAGCCAUGCAGCACCUGUGCACGUUGUACCCGAAGGCCUGGCUCCCCUUUCAGGGAGUUAAUCCGUGCAUGUCAAACCUAGGAUAAGGUUCUUCGCGUUGCUUCGAAUUGAGCCACAUGCUCCACCGCUUGUGUGAGCCCCCGUCAAUUCCUUUGAGUUUUAGCCUUGCGACCGUACUCCCCAGGCGGUGCACUAAACACUUUUGCUUCGAUCCGGGAGAUGUCAGAACCACCCUGAUCAAGUGCACAUCGUUUACGGCGUGGACUAC